AUUGAACGCUGGCGGCAGGCCUAACACAUGCAAGUCGAACGGGUGGCGGACGGGUGAGUAAUGUCUGGGAAACUGCCCGAUGGAGGGUGCUAACUACUGGAAAAGGUAGCUACAACCGCAUAACAUCGUAUGUGCCCAGAUGGGAUUAGCUAGUCGGUGGGGUAACGGCUCACCUAGGCGACGAUCCCUAGCUGGUCUGAGAGGCUGACCAGCCACACUGGAACUGAGACACGGUCCAGACUCCUACGGGAGGCAGCAGUGGGGAAUAUUCCACAAUGGGCGCAAGCCUGAUGCAGCCAUGCCGCGUGUAUGAAGAAGGCCUUCGGGUUGUAAAGUACUUUCAGCGGGGAGGCGUUACUCGCAGAAGAAGCACCGGCUAACUCCGUGCCAGCAGCCGCGGUAAUAC
rnacentral:rRNA from 1 species